rnacentral:rRNA from 1 species
AUUGAACGCUGGCGGCAGGCCUAACACAUGCAAGUCGAACGAGUGGCGGACGGGUGAGUAAUGUCUGGGAAACUGCCUGAUGGAGGGGGAUAACUACUGGAAACGGUAGCUAAUACCGCAUACCAUCAGAUGUGCCCAGAUGGGCUUAGCGUGGUGGUGGGUUAAAGGCUCACCAAGGCGACGAGCCCUAGCUGGUCUGAGAGGAUGACAAGCGACAGUGGAACUGAGACACGUUCCAGACUCCUAAGGGAGGCAGCAGGGGGGAAUAGUGCACAAUGGGCGCAAGCCUGAGGCAGCCAUGCCGCGUGUAUGAAGAAGGCCUUCGGGUUGUAAAGUACUUUCAGCGGGGAUGCGUUACCCGCAGAAGAAGCACCGGAUAACUCCGUGCCAGCAGCCGCGGUAAUAC